rnacentral:misc_RNA from 1 species
GAACCUGAUGCCAGAAGAGAAUUCUCAUGUAUGUCUAUGUCAUCUCUUGUCAAACUUAAAGCGCUUCCAUCUUCAUUUGCCAAAUAGAAAAACAAAUGCCCAUUUUGCUGCAUUUCGUUAUUCCAGUCAGAUUUCUCGCUCUGGGCAUCAAUUCGAACUGCCCAAUCUCCUCCAUAGCCACUGCCUUCAUUUUUGGAUUUCAAGAAACUGGUUUCCAACUUCAAUCCCUGAUCAACCAGUACUUGGUGCCCAAAAUCACGACCAUUAUGUUGUGUCCAGCCAUAAGUGCUUAGCUCAUCAGAGUCUUGGCAAAAAUGUCUUAUAAAAUACCUUCCAUCCUUUAAGCCUAUCCACAUUAAACCAGCGACCAAAGACUGAGGAG